GGGGAUAUAACUUAAUUGGUAAAGUUUUUGUUUUGCAAUCAAAAUAUUGGGGGUUCAAAUCCCCCUUUCUCCA
rnacentral:tRNA from 1 species